GACGAACGCUGGCGGCGCGCUUAACACAUGCAAGUCGAGCGAAGCGGCGGACGGGUGAGUAACACGUGAGUAACCUGCCUUAGACAUUGGGAUAGCCUCGGGAAACCGGGAAUAAUACCAAAUGGUUUAAGAUUGACUCGCGUCCCAUUAGCUAGUUGGUGGGUAACGGCCCACCAAGGCGACGAUGGGUCGCCGGCCGGGGGGGGGGAACGGCCACAUUGGAACUGAGAAACGGUCCAAACGCUACGGAAGGCAGCAGUGGGGAAUAUUGCACAAUGGGGGGAACUCUGAUGCAGCGACGCCGCGUGAACGAAGAAGGCUUUCGAGUCGUAAAGUUCUUUUAUAUGGGAAGCGGUACCAUAAGAAAAAGCCCCGGCUAACUACGUGCCAGCGGCCGCGUAAUAC
rnacentral:rRNA from 1 species